CUUUCAGAGGCAGAUUUCUGAGAUUUCUCUUAAUCAUGCGAUUUCAGAGAGUUUUGUCGUUAUUUUUGCCUCUGGACUUCUGUUUUCAACUCUCUGAGUGACCGGCAUACAGCUUCACAGUGCCGGCUGUUUUGCUUACACCAGAGAUAAGCUGAUAGCACUGCAAAAAAAAGAAUACUAACCACCUUUCGUCAAAGUGCAUUUUGACAGUUCUAGGUGAAAGUUCAUCCAAUCAGAACGCAUUGUGACAGGAAGUCUCGCCCCCCUGUCAUCCAAUCAGAACGCGUUGUGACAGGAAGUCCCGCCUCCUUGUGACCAAUGAGAUUCUUCUAUUUUCCGGAUAUCCCGCCCCACUUCCCCCUUCCAAUUUUUUGAAUAUCCGUUCACGCGCACCGGCGUUCCGUUCGCGCGCUUCAGGGUGUGUGCAAAAGUUUUCAGACAGUGUGCAAGGCCUGCAGCGGGAAUGCGAGGCUGAAAGUAUUCGGACAGUGCGCGAGGCCUGCCGCGGGGAUGUGAGGCCGGAAGUAUUCGGACAGUGCGCGAGGGCUGCCGCGGGAAUGCGAGACCGAAAGUUUUUGGACAGUGCGCGAGGGUGUGUUUCACGCGGCCGUGUCUUGAACUUUUGGUGUGAUUUUAAACGUUUUAUUAAUAACCUUUAUUUUUUUUUUAGUUGUGAAACGUACACGGAUAUAUGCAAAAAGAGGAUUAAUGGCGUAUCACGGGAGUUCUAUUAUCAACGAGACCCUUAUAUAGAUUUUUCAAGAUUCUGGCAAAGAGGGUCUGUGGAAAAGCAGCGCGUGUCUCCGUCAUACUCAGACACCGCCGUCGGAUCCGUUGUGCGAGGAAUGGCCUUUGGAUUCCGGGGGCCGAUGGGGUUAUGUGUUUAGAUAUGAAAUAGGGGAAUUGCAGCUUUAUCAGUUGAAGUGUGGAGAGACGGUCCCGAGGUGUCCGGCUUCGUUAUCCUCUAACGACUAACGACUAACGACUGGGGUGUGUUAAAGAAGGUCUUCCUUGAGAAUUUUAGUGAUAGGAAGUCCCACCCCCCUUUGGACCACCCCAUGCAAAUGUCAGGCCGAAAGUUUUUGGACGGUGCGCGAAGCCGGCCUUGCACCAAACCCUUGAACUCUUCUGUACUUUUUUAAAUAAGUUUUUCUCUUUAAUAAAGUUACCGCGGAAGAACUAGAGGGUAUUAGCCUCAGUCAGACUGAACCAGAUUUUACACGCAACAUAAAUCCUGAUGAGUUUUCCAGGGAGCCGGGGAACGACAGCCUCGUGGAGGAUCUGGAUUUAAUUCUAACAGGGGCUUCACCAGUGAGGACUUCGCCAGCGAUCUCACGAGAUCGACGUGUUCAGCACGCUCCUCCGAGAAGCGGAGACCCCGCGAUCGAAAUAUUACCGACUCCGGCCCCACGAGUCGCGAGCGUGACGCCCAUCUUAAAAGCCUGCGAUGCGCCCCGGCAAGCGAAGGGACUGAAAUUUCUCAGAAAUAUCAAUAGUGAAAAGGUUGUUUACAGACUCGGCCAAAUCACCCACGUGUUCGACCAGGGAAGCGGGGCGUGUGAUUAACGAGACUGAAUCGGAGAACACCCCCGAACCGAAUCAGGAAGCGGAGCGACGACGGAGAGAACGUGGAUGUCCCGUUAGAGCUCUGUUUAAGCGCAGGUUUCCUCAGCGACGGUUUAACGGCGACGUCUCUAACAGGGAAGUGAGACCCGAACGGUUCGAGAAUUCCGCAGCCUCUCCGCCAGCGUCGUGACGGAGGAUUAUUGCGUCUCGCCGAAAUAAUGAGCGAUUUGAUUCACGAUCUUAUUCGUGACUACAGUGCCACGUUUUCUAACGCGUAUGAAAAGGUUUUGAGUGAAAUGUUUUGAGUGAAAUGUUUUGAAUGUUCGGCUCGGUAUAUAUUUUUGACGUUGUGAUUGCAAGGUUAUAGAUGGGGGUAAUUAUAUAUAAUAAA